rnacentral:lncRNA from 1 species
UGCAGGGGCGAUGAUAGGCGCUGAUGAGACAAGAUUGAAGUGCAGCCAACACUGCAUGGUGCUUCUCACAAGAGCUGACCCAUUGCUGUUUUUCAACUCUUCUGGAAAAGGAGACAAGAUUGAAGUGCAGCCAACACUGCAUGGUGCUUCUCACAAGAGCUGACCCAUUGCUGUUUUUCAACUCUUCUGGAAAAGGUAAUAUUGGCAGAUACUUACAUUGUUUCACAAUCUACGUUCUGGUAUGGGUCUCCCCUCCGCGGACCAUCUGGUGGGACCAUCAACCGCUGGGACACGACCCAGCGGUUGUAGUGGUCUACUAUUCAUCUAUAAAUCUUAAAAAGUCCGCCGCCGUCGGGGUUACGCUUAAAAAGGCUUUAUGCGGCGCCGUCGAUUGACGCACGAGGGUGAAAUUUUCACGGCUCGUGGGUCGCG